AGUGAACGCUGGCGGUAGGCCUAACACAUGCAAGUCGAACGGCAGCACAGUAUGUGCUUGCUCUUACGGGUGGCGAGUGGCGGACGGGUCAGGAAUACAUUGGAUUCCACUUUUUCGUGGGGGAUAACGACGGGAAAUUUACGCUAAUACCACAUACGUCGUACGUGUGAAAGCAGGGGAUCUUCGAACCUCUCGCGAUUGAAUGAGCCACUGUCGGAUUAGUUGGUUGGCGGGGUAAAGGCCCAACAAGGCGAGGAUCCGUAGCUGGACUGAGAGGAUGGUCAGCCAGACUGGAACUGGGACAGGGUCCAGACGCCUACGGGAGGCACCAGUGGGGAAUAUUGGACAAUGGGCGCGAGACUGAUCCAGCCAUACCGCGUGGGUGAAGAAGGCCUUCGGGUUGUAAAGCCCUUUUGUUGGGAAAGAAAAGCAGCAGGUUUAUACCCCACUGUUCUGACGGUACCCAAAGAAUAAGCACCGGCUAACUUCGUG
rnacentral:rRNA from 1 species